rnacentral:rRNA from 1 species
CACGUAGUUAGCCGGUGCUUUUUCUGCAGGUACCGUCACUUUCGCUUCUUCCCUACUAAAAGAGGUUUACAACCCGAAGGCCUUCGUCCCUCACGCGGCGUUGCUGCAUCAGGCUUUCGCCCAUUGUGCAAUAUUCCCCACUGCUGCCUCCCGUAGGAGUCUGGGCCGUGUCUCAGUCCCAGUGUGGCCGGUCACCCUCUCAGGCCGGCUACCCGUCGUCGCCUUGGUGAGCCAUUACCCUCACCAACAAGCUGAUAGGCCGCGAGUCCAUCCCCAACCAAAAUUCUUUCCACGACCAGACCAUGCGAUCGGCCGUCGUAUCCAGUAUUAGACGUCGUUUCCAACGCUUAUCCCGGAGUCAGGGGCAGGUUACUCACGUGUUACUCACCCGUUCGCCACUAAUCCACCUAGCAAGCUGGGCAUCAUCGUUCGACUUGCAUGUGUUAAGCACGCCGCCAGCGUUCGUCCUGAGCCAGGAUCAAACUCU